rnacentral:tRNA from 1 species
AUAAUCAUUAUGUAGGAGAGAUGGCCGAGUGGUUUAAGGCGUAGCAUUGGAAUUGCUAUGUAGGCUUUUGUUUACCGAG